UCUCUCUCUCUAACUCCCACGAUUUUUGCCUCCUUUCUCCCUGAGAGACUCAAAUCGAAGCUCAACCUGAGGGUUUCCACUUCACAUGUCAUUAGUAUUCCUAAGUUUAGAAGGAUUCAAGGAAAUUUGAAGGUCUUUCUCAACAUUUGUGGAAUCUAAGGUAAAGGUGUUGGAAGUUUUUUUUUUUGUUCACUUGUCGAAGAACCUCCGCGGCUCCUCCCAAAUCAACCGAGAGAAUUCAUGCGAAGAAAUGUACGGGGCAAGACGGCAAGUGUCACCUAUUUUAACAAGAACUAUAGGGUACCAGUGGAGCACCACAUAGCACCCACUCCCACUAAUAGGAAGUGGGUCCCGGAGAAUGGGGUGGACAAGUGAUGCACAUCUUCUAUUAACGGUGGCGCUUAACACUAGUGAUGCUCCCAAGCAUUUUUUAUCUCAACAAUUAAGGCCCCGUUAAUUUUACCGAUUUGAGUUUUGCUACAAUC